ACAUAACUGCUUUCCUCCUGAAAUACCACCUUGUAAAGAUAGAGAAAACCUUGCACAGAUUUCUCUGUGUUGUGCAGCUGCUAAGGGGGGAUGGAGGAGGAGUGGCACUGGCAAUUCAAGACUGCCUUUCCUACCCUUUUCAGUGCCUCUUUCAGUGAUAUCAAGUUAAAACCAGAUACUGCUUUCAUAGUACUCUUCUGACCAUGGUUUUCUGGAGUUUUUUCAUAUGGAGUUUGUAAGCUUCCUGACAUGGAUUAUAACUGUACUUGACGGAGCACAGUUAUAAUAGCUGCUUUAGAGUCCUUGAUAAUUCCCACAUCUGAAUCAUCUCAAGUUAUUUUUGGUAGAUUUUGAUGGAUGUACAUUGAUGGAUAGCCACAUGGAUCCAGAAAAUAAAGACUUCUACUGUGCAUAUUGACUAAAGCAAAAGAUAUGCAAGGAAGCUCAGUCUCUCAGUUGAGUGGAUUCUGAAAUUUAUCCUGUUGUCUUCAGCUACUAAGGCUAAUUUGCAAAUCACACUGUGCACGGGUAAGCAUAAACUGUAAACAUAUGUAUUAAUCUUCAUUUUUUUAAAUUGUAAU
rnacentral:lncRNA from 1 species